GGGCGAUUAGCUCAGUUGGGUUAGAGCACCUGCCUUACAAGCAGGGGAUCGUUGGUUCGAAUCCAACAUCGCCCACCA
rnacentral:tRNA from 1 species